rnacentral:rRNA from 1 species
AGAGUUUGAUCCUGGCUCAGGACGAACNCUGGCGGCGCGCUUAACACAUGCAAGUCGUGCGGUACCGAUGGCAAGUCUUCUUGACGAGCCUUCGGUAUAGCGGCGGACGGGUGAGUAACACGUGAGUAGCUGUCCUAGGGAGGGGGAUAACGCCUGGAAACGGGUGCUAAAACCCCAUAAGCCUCGAAAGAGGUAAAAGUGCAUCACUGCAGUCCUAGGGUGUGCUCGCGGCCUAUCAGCUAGUUGGUGAGGUAAGGGCUCACCAAGGCCAAGACGGGUAGCCGGCCUGAGAGGGUGUACGGCCACACUGGAAUUGAGAUACGGUCCA